AUUGAACGCUGGCGGCAUGCCUUACACAUGCAAGUCGAACGGUAACAGGUCUUUCGGGAUGCUGACGAGUGGCGAACGGGUGAGUAAUACAUCGGAACGUGCCUAGUAGUGGGGGAUAACUACUCGAAAGAGUGGCUAAUACCGCAUGAGAUCUAUGGAUGAAAGCAGGGGACCUUCGGGCCUGGCGCGAACGGAGCGGCCGAUGGCAGAUUAGGUAGUUGGUGGGAUAAAAGCUUACCAAGCCGACGAUCUGUAGCUGGUCUGAGAGGACGACCAGCCACACUGGGACUGAGACACGGCCCAGACUCCUACGGGAGGCAGCAGUGGGGAAUUUUGGACAAUGGGCGAACGCCUGAUCCAGCCAUGCCGCGUGCAGGAUGAAGGCCUUCGGGUUGUAAACUGCUUUUGUACGGAACGAAAAGACUCUGGUUAAUACCUGGGGUCCAUGACGGUACCGUAAGAAUAAGCACCGGCUAACUACGUGCCAGCCGCCGCAGUAAGAC
rnacentral:rRNA from 1 species